CGAAUGCUGGCGGCAGGCCUAACACAUGCAAGUCGAACGGGAUCUUCGGAUCUAGUGGCGGACGGGUGAGUAACGCGUGGGAACGUGCCCUUUGGUUCGGAAUAGCCCUGGGAAACUGGGAGUAAUACCGGAUGAGCCCUUCGGGGGAAAGAUUUAUCGCCAAAGGAUCGGCCCGCGUUGGAUUAGGUAGUUGGUGGGGUAAUGGCCUACCAAGCCGACGAUCCAUAGCUGGUUUGAGAGGAUGAUCAGCCACACUGGAACUGAGACACGGUCCAAACUCCUACGGGAGGCAGCAGUGGGGAAUAUUGGACAAUGGGCGCAAGCCUGAUCCAGCCAUGCCGCGU
rnacentral:rRNA from 1 species